rnacentral:rRNA from 1 species
GAAUAUUGGACAAUGGGGGCAACCCUGAUCCAGCAAUGCCGCGUGUGUGAAGAAGGCCUGCGGGUUGUAAAGCACUUUCAGUAGAGAAGAAAAGCCUAAGGUUAAUAACCUUGAGUCUUGACGUAACCUACAGAAGAAGCACCGGCUAACUCCGUUCCAGCCGCCGCGGUAAUACGGGGGGUGCGAGCGUUAAUCGGAAUUACUGGGCGUAAAGCGCGCGUAGGCGGCGUGAUAAGCCGGUUGUGAAAGCCCCGGGCUCAACCUGGGAACGGCAUCCGGAACUGUCAGGCUAGAGUGCAGGAGAGGAAGGUAGAAUUCCCGGUGUAGCGGUGAAAUGCGUAGAGAUCGGGAGGAAUACCAGUGGCGAAGGCGGCCUUCUGGACUGACACUGACGCUGAGGUGCGAAAGCGUGGGUAGCAAACAGG